AGCGAACGCUGGCGGCAGGCUUAACACAUGCAAGUCGAACGGGCACUUCGGUGUCAGUGGCAGACGGGUGAGUAACGCGUGGGAACAUACCUCUUGGUUCGGAACAACACAGGGAAACUUGUGCUAAUACCGGAUAAGCCCUUACGGGGAAAGAUUUAUCGCCGAGAGAUUGGCCCGCGUCUGAUUAGCUAGUUGGUGUGGUAAAAGCGCACCAAGGCGACGAUCAGUAGCUGGCUGAGAGGAUGAUCAGCCACAUUGGGACUGAGACACGGCCCAAACUCCUACGGGAGGCAGCAGUGGGGAAUAUUGGACAAUGGGCGCAAGCCUGAUCCAGCCAUGCCGCGUGAGUGAUGAAGGCCCUAGGGUUGUAAAGCUC
rnacentral:rRNA from 1 species